rnacentral:rRNA from 1 species
AUGAACGCUAGCUACAGGCUUAACACAUGCAAGUCGAGGGGCAGCAUGGUCUUAGCUUGCUAAGGCCGAUGGCGACCGGCGCACGGGUGAGUAACACGUAUCCAACCUGCCGUCUACUCUUGGACAGCCUUCUGAAAGGAAGAUUAAUACAAGAUGGCAUCAUGAGUCCGCAUGUUCACAUGAUUAAAGGUAUUCCGGUAGACGAUGGGGAUGCGUUCCAUUAGAUAGUAGGCGGGGUAACGGCCCACCUAGUCUUCGAUGGAUAGGGGUUCUGAGAGGAAGGUCCCCCACAUUGGAACUGAGACACGGUCCAAACUCCUACGGGAGGCAGCAGUGAGGAAUAUUGGUCAAUGGGCGAGAGCCUGAACCAGCCAAGUAGCGUGAAGGAUGACUGCCCUAUGGGUUGUAAACUUCUUUUAUAAAGGAAUAAAGUCGGGUAUGGAUACCCGUUUGCAUGUACUUUAUGAAUAAGGAUCGGCUAACUCCGUGCCAGCAGCCGCGGUAAUACGGAGGAUUCGAGCGUUAUCCGGAUUUAUUGGGUUUAAAGGGAGCGUAGAUGGAUGUUUAAGUCAGUUGUGAAAGUUUGCGGCUCAACCGUAAAAUUGCAGUUGAUACUGGAUAUCUUGAGUGCAGUUGAGGCAGGCGGAAUUCGUGGUGUAGCGGUGAAAUGCUUAGAUAUCACGAAGAACUCCGAUUGCGAAGGCAGCCGUCUAAGCUGCAACUGACAUUGAGGCUCGAAAGUGUGGGUAUCAAACAGGAUUAGAUACCCUGGUAGUCCACACGGUAAACGAUGAAUACUCGCUGUUUGCGAUAUACUGCAAGCGGCCAAGCGAAAGCGUUAAGUAUUCCACCUGGGGAGUACGCCGGCAACGGUGAAACUCAAAGGAAUUGACGGGGGCCCGCACAAGCGGAGGAACAUGUGGUUUAAUUCGAUGAUACGCGAGGAACCUUACCCGGGCUUAAAUUGCAGAUGAAUUACGGUGAAAGCCGUAAGCCGCAAGGCAUCUGUGAAGGUGCUGCAUGGUUGUCGUCAGCUCGUGCCGUGAGGUGUCGGCUUAAGUGCCAUAACGAGCGCAACCCUUGUUGUCAGUUACUAACAGGUUCCGCUGAGGACUCUGACAAGACUGCCAUCGUAAGAUGUGAGGAAGGUGGGGAUGACGUCAAAUCAGCACGGCCCUUACGUCCGGGGCUACACACGUGUUACAAUGGGGGGUACAGAGGGCCGCUACCACGCGAGUGGAUGCCAAUCCCCAAAACCUCUCUCAGUUCGGACUGGAGUCUGCAACCCGACUCCACGAAGCUGGAUUCGCUAGUAAUCGCGCAUCAGCCACGGCGCGGUGAAUACGUUCCCGGGCCUUGUACACACCGCCCGUCAAGCCAUGGGAGCCGGGGGUACCUGAAGUGCGUAACCGCGAGGAGCGCCCUAGGGUAAAACUGGUGACUGGGGCU